rnacentral:snRNA from 1 species
GGAUGUGAGGGUGAGCUGGCUGCUCCAGGGUUGAUUAGGCUGAUCUGGCUGGCUAGGCGGGUAUCCCCUUCCUCCCUCAAUGCUCCAUGUGCGUCCCUCCCGAAGCUGUGCGCUCAGUCGAAGAGGAUGAUCACCCCCGAUGGAGGACCGUUCCUCGGUCAAGGGUAUACGAGUAGCUGUGCUCCCCUGCUACAACCUCCAAACAAGCUAACAUAAUAUAUGUUUCUAAAAACCUUAUUCUGCAGAAUUGCGUGGUAAAAAUAGGCUAGGGAGAAAAUAGAGUAGGGCCAACCACUCAACUCUGAUU